rnacentral:rRNA from 1 species
AGAAAUUCGAUUCCGUAAGUAGCGGCGAGCGAACACGGAUUAGCCCAAACCAAUAAAGUUUUCUUUAUUGGGGUUGCGGACAUAUCAUAACGAAGAGGUAUCGUAAUUGAAGAGGUUUGGAAAGACCAACCACAGAAGGUAAUAGUCCUGUAUGUUAAACGAGAAGACUUCAGAUAUGAUCCAGAGUACCACGGGACACGUGAAACCCUGUGGGAAGCAGGAGGGACCACCCUCCAAGGCUAAAUACUACCUAGUGACCGAUAGCGUAUAGUACCGUGAGGGAAAGG